UAUCCAUGAUGUGGACAUUGAUUUAUCAAAUCUCUAAACCUGCCCCAGACCUAAUGGAAAGUUUCAUGGUCUUUUUGGAUGAAGGUAGAGAUUUGCCUCUUAAAGAUU